rnacentral:tRNA from 1 species
GGAGAGGUCGCCUAGCUGGUUUAUGGCGCACGCCUGGAAAGUGUGUAGGGCCGCAAGGUUCUCGCGAGUUCGAAUCUCGCCCUCUCCG